GACGAACGCUGGCGGCGUGCUUAACACAUGCAAGUCGAACGGAAAGGCCCUGCUUUUGUGGGGUGCUCGAGUGGCGAACGGGUGAGUAACACGUGAGUAACCUGCCCUUGACUUUGGGAUAACUUCAGGAAACUGGGGCUAAUACCGGAUAGGAGCUCCUGCUGCAUGGUGGGGGUUGGAAAGUUUCGGCGGUUGGGGAUGGACUCGCGGCUUAUCAGCUUGUUGGUGGGGUAGUGGCUUACCAAGGCUUUGACGGGUAGCCGGCCUGAGAGGGUGACCGGCCACAUUGGGACUGAGAUACGGCCCAGACUCCUACGGGAGGCAGCAGUGGGGAAUAUUGCACAAUGGGCGGAAGCCUGAUGCAGCAACGCCGCGUGCGGGAUGACGGCCUUCGGGUUGUAAACCGCUUUGGCCUGUGACGAAGCGUGAGUGACGGUAAUGGGUAAAGAAGCACCGGCUAACUACGUG
rnacentral:rRNA from 1 species